rnacentral:rRNA from 1 species
UACGGAGGGGGCUAGCGUUGUUCGGAAUUACUGGGCGUAAAGGGCGCGUAGGCGGUGCUUCAAGUCAGGCGUGAAAGCCCCGGGCUUAACCUGGGAAUGGCGUUUGAUACUGAAGGACUAGAGAACGGGAGAGGAAAGCAGAAUUCCUAGUGUAGAGGUGAAAUUCGUAGAUAUUAGGAAGAAUACCGGAGGCGAAGGCGGCUUUCUGGACCGUAACUGACGCUGAGGCGCGAAAGCGUGGGGAGCAAACAGG